UCAGUGUCUUCUAAACCCUCUCUGCUGAUAGACUAAGAGAUAUAUAUGUACAUACUAACUCAUGUAUGUAUGCAUAUCUAUAAAUAUUUUUCUGUGUAACUAAUUCAUGUCUCUUUUAGAUAACUAGUUAAUACUGAUGUCUCUGACCCUAAUCUCUUACCAUACAGUACAGUGGUUUCAAAAUUUUUAUCUGUAUUCUGUCAGUAUAUUUUAAUACUUUUUUUUUUUCUUUCACCCAGAUUCGGGAACUGGAGCCUCUCCUCUGUCACAGUGACAAUCCAUCUCAGCUCAUCUGGACAUCGUCUCGCAAUGCAAGGAAAUCUAAUUUCAGCCUCGAGGACUUCCAGCACAGCAAAGGCAAGGAACCCUACAGCUCUUCCAAAUAUGCCACUGACCUUUUGAGUGUGGCUUUGAACAGGAACUUCAACCAGCAGGGUCUCUAUUCCAAUGUGGCCUGUCCAGGUACAGCAUUGACCAAUUUGACAUAUGGAAUUCUGCCUCCGUUUAUAUGGACGCUGUUGAUGCCGGCCAUAUUGCUACUUCGCUUUUUUGCAAAUGCAUUCACUUUGACACCAUAUAAUGGAA
rnacentral:sRNA from 1 species